UAACUGGCUGUACCUUGACGGUACCUUAUUAAAAAGCCACGGCUAACUACGUGCCAGCAGCCGCGGUAAUACGUAGGUGGCAAGCGUUGUCCGGAAUUAUUGGGCGUAAAGCGCGCGCAGGUGGUUUCUUAAGUCUGAUGUGAAAGCCCACGGCUCAACCGUGGAGGGUCAUUGGAAACUGGGGAACUUGAGUGCAGAAGAGGAUAGUGGAAUUCCAAGUGUAGCGGUGAAAUGCGUAGAGAUUUGGAGGAACACCAGUGGCGAAGGCGACUAUCUGGUCUGUAACUGACACUGAGGCGCGAAAGCGUGGGGAGCAAACAGGAUUAGAUACCCUGGUAGUCCACGCCGUAAACGAUGAGUGCUAAGUGGUAGGGGGUUUCCGCCCCUUAUUGCUGCACCUAACGCAUUAAUCACUCCGCCGGGGGAGUACGGUCGCAAGACUGAAACUCAAAGGAAUUGACGG
rnacentral:rRNA from 1 species